CGAACGCUGGCGGCGUGCUUAACACAUGCAAGUUGAACGGAAAGGCCCUGCUUUUGUGGGGUGCUCGAGUGGCGAACGGGUGAGUAACACGUGAGUAACCUGCCCUUGACUUUGGGAUAACUUCAGGAAACUGGGGCUAAUACCGGAUAGGAGCUCCUGCUGCAUGGUGGGGGUUGGAAAGUUUCGGCGGUUGGGGAUGGACUCGCGGCUUAUCAGCUUGUUGGUGGGGUAGUGGCUUACCAAGGCUUUGACGGGUAGCCGGCCUGAGAGGGUGACCGGCCACAUUGGGACUGAGAUACGGCCCAGACUCCUACGGGAGGCAGCAGUGGGGAAUAUUGCACAAUGGGCGGAAGCCUGAUGCAGCAACGCCGCGUGCGGGAUGACGGCCUUCGGGUUGUAAACCGCUUUCGCCUGUGACGAAGCGUGAGUGACGGUAAUGGGUAAAGAAGCACCGGCUAACUACGUG
rnacentral:rRNA from 1 species